AUGAUAAUGGCAGAUUUUAUUUAAUGUAAUCUGAUCAAUAAUCUGAUCUGUUUUUGGCGUCAAUAAUCAGUUAUACAAACAGUCUAAUAUCUAACAUAAACUGUUGCUCAGCAUGGGGUUACAGGGUCCUGAGUGGUUUAAAAACAACAGAGAACUAAGAAUCAUGGGUAAAAAAAGGCUACAGGUUUUAUACUACUGGGUUACAGCUACUAUAACUACAGGUUUUAUACUACUAGGUUACAGCUACUAUAACUACAGGUUUUAUACUACUAGGUUACAGCUACUAUAACUACAGGUUUUAUACUACUGGGUUACAGCUACUAUAACUACAGGUUUUAUACUACUAGGUUACAGCUACUAUAACUACAGGUUUUAUACUACUAGGUUACAGCUACUAUAACUACAGGUUUUAUACUACUAGGUUACAGCUACUAUAACUACAGGUUUUAUACUACUAGGUUACAGCUACUAUAACUACAGGUUUUAUACUACUAGGUUACAGCUACUAUAACUACAGGUUUUAUACUACUAGGUUACAGCUACUAUAACUACAGGUUUUAUACUACUAGGUUACAGCUACUAUAACUACAGGUUUUAUACUACUAGGUUACAGCUACUAUAACUACAGGUUUUAUACUACUAGGUUACAGCUACUAUAACUACAGGUUUUAUACUACUAGGUUACAGCUACUAUAACUACAGGUUUUAUACUACUAGGUUACAGCUACUAUAACUACAGGUUUUAUACUACUAGGUUACAGCUACUAUAACUACAGGUUUUAUACUACUAGGUUACAGCUACUAUAACUACAGGUUUUAUACUACUAGGUUACAGCUACUAUAACUACAGGUUUUAUACUACUAGGUUACAGCUACUAUAACUACAGGUUUUAUACUACUAGGUUACAGCUACUAUAACUACAGGUUUUAUACUACUAGGUUACAGCUACUAUAACUACAGGUUUUAUACUACUGGGUUACAGCUACUAUAACUACAGGUUUUAUACUACUAGGUUACAGCUACUAUAACUACAGGUUUUAUACUACUAGGUUACAGCUACUAUAACUACAGGUUUUAUACUACUAGGUUACAGCUACUAUAACUACAGGUUUUAUACUACUAGGUUACAGCUACUAUAACUACAGGUUUUAUACUACUGGGUUACAGCUACUAUAACUACAGGUUUUAUACUACUGGGUUACAGCUACUAUAACUACAGGUUUUAUACUACUAGGUUACAGCUACUAUAACUACAGGUUUUAUACUACUAGGUUACAGCUACUAUAACUACAGGUUUUAUACUACUAGGUUACAGCUACUAUAACUACAGGUUUUAUACUACUAGGUUACAGCUACUAUAACUACAGGUUUUAUACUACUAGGUUACAGCUACUAUAACUACAGGUUUUAUACUACUAGGUUACAGCUACUAUAACUACAGGUUUUAUACUACUAGGUUACAGCUACUAUAACUACAGGUUUUAUACUACUAGGUUACAGCUACUAUAACUACAGGUUUUAUACUACUAGGUUACAGCUACUAUAACUACAGGUUUUAUACUACUAGGUUACAGCUACUAUAACUACAGGUUUUAUACUACUGGGUUACAGCUACUAUAACUACAGGUUUUAUACUACUGGGUUACAGCUACUAUAACUACAGGUUUUAUACUACUGGGUUACAGCUACUAUAACUACAGGUUUUAUACUACUAGGUUACAGCUACUAUAACUACAGGUUUUAUACUACUAGGUUACAGCUACUAUAACUACAGGUUUUAUACUACUAGGUUACAGCUACUAUAACUACAGGUUUUAUACUACUAGGUUACAGCUACUAUAACUACAGGUUUUAUACUACUGGGUUACAGCUACUAUAACUACAGGUUUUAUACUACUGGGUUACAGCUACUAUAACUACAGGUUUUAUACUACUAGGUUACAGCUACUAUAACUACAGGUUUUAUACUACUAGGUUACAGCUACUAUAACUACAGGUUUUAUACUACUAGGUUACAGCUACUAUAACUACAGGUUUUAUACUACUGGGUUACAGCUACUAUAACUACAGGUUUUAUACUACUGGGUUACAGCUACUAUAACUACAGGUUUUAUACUACUGGGUUACAGCUACUAUAACUACAGGUUUUAUACUACUGGGUUACAGCUACUAUAACUACAGGUUUUAUACUACUAGGUUACAGCUACUAUAACUACAGGUUUUAUACUACUAGGUUACAGCUACUAUAACUACAGGUUUUAUACUACUAGGUUACAGCUACUAUAACUACAGGUUUUAUACUACUGGGUUACAGCUACUAUAACUACAGGUUUUAUACUACUAGGUUACAGCUACUAUAACUACAGGUUUUAUACUACUAGGUUACAGCUACUAUAACUACAGGUUUUAUACUACUGGGUUACAGCUACUAUAACUACAGGUUUUAUACUACUGGGUUACAGCUACUAUAACUACAGGUUUUAUACUACUGGGUUACAGCUACUAUAACUACAGGUUUUAUACUACUGGGUUACAGCUACUAUAACUACAGGUUUUAUACUACUAGGUUACAGCUACUAUAACUACAGGUUUUAUACUACUAGGUUACAGCUACUAUAACUACAGGUUUUAUACUACUGGGUUACAGCUACUAUAACUACAGGUUUUAUACUACUGGGUUACAGCUACUAUAACUACAGGUUUUAUACUACUAGGUUACAGCUACUAUAACUACAGGUUUUAUACUACUAGGUUACAGCUACUAUAACUACAGGUUUUAUACUACUAGGUUACAGCUACUAUAACUACAGGUUUUAUACUACUGGGUUACAGCUACUAUAACUACAGGUUUUAUACUACUGGGUUACAGCUACUAUAACUACAGGUUUUAUACUACUAGGUUACAGCUACUAUAACUACAGGUUUUAUACUACUAGGUUACAGCUACUAUAACUACAGGUUUUAUACUACUAGGUUACAGCUACUAUAACUACAGGUUUUAUACUACUAGGUUACAGCUACUAUAACUACAGGUUUUAUACUACUAGGUAACAGCUACUAUAA